ensembl:lncRNA
UAUUUGUUAUCCUUAUUUAUUUAAUAAAGAAACAUAAUAAACUUGAAUUUUUCCAGGUACAAACAGCUUAAUAUGUCCUAUGAUAUUGGCUGAUAUUUCCCGUGCUCUUUUUGUAGCUUAAGUGAUUCAUGUGGUAGCCUUUAUUAAAGAAAUCAACAGAAAAAGUGGUAACACUCACCAUGCUUAUAGACAGUGUGGGCCAACUAUUGAGAUGGUGUUUUUAACUAAAUCACUGCACUGGGAGGUUAUAUCAUUGCUAGAUUUGGAUCGGCGUCUCCAUUAAUAAAGAUCUGCAAGUGAGGCUAUUUUAAGUUUUUGAGGGGUGUUCUGCAAACCAUACAAAGAUACCAUUCCCUCUUCAGUUCGAAAGAAAUGUACCAUAAAACGAUAUAAAACCCAAUAGAAAACCAACCUUUCAGUUACAAAUGUUUUGAAAGUAAUUUACAGUUCAGUUAUAGAAAGUUGCACUGUAAACAUCUACAGUUAAGACCCUCUUUCAGAUUUUUUUGCAUGCUGAUUUUGGUUUUUUUACAGGUUUUGGGUAGAAGAUAGAUAGAACCAUUUGUAAUCGCAUCAGUACUAUAGGGUCUCAUAGCAAUGGCAAUAAAAUGUUCAACGCAAGGGUGAAAUGACCAGCGGAAGGGCUCUUCUCUAAUAUUAUCAGUGACCAGCUAAUCAUUACCUUACAUCCCGUUCAUUACAGGGCCGGACACUUAAUAAGAAUAUCAGUUGAAAAUUUUCUAACAGAAGUUGCAAAUAAUUAAAAUAAAUACUUUUAAACUGGCAUGACCAGUACCACGCUGCUGGCUGGCUUUUUCCUUGGGUUUUGAACAGUUUAUAUUGUUGUGAAAAAAUAAUCACAUCAUAAGAAAUGCUCCUUUUUCUUAGUAUUUCUCCUUUUUUUUGUAAUUCUAAAGCUUUGAAAGGAAAAUAAUUUUACCAGUUGUCAGCCAAUAAAUGCUUGUUCAGCAAGUAAUGAAUGCACUAUUUUCUAAUUAAACAGUUUCAUUAUAGCCAGCAGCUCAUUGCUAAUGAUCAAUAAAUCCCAUUGAGAAGAAAACAUUUUAAUCAGUAAGUCGUGUCCUCUGUGAGUGUCAGCCACUCUAUAAACUCACAAGAUACAUAUAUAUGUAUAGAUAUAUGUAUGUGUGUAUAUAUAUAUGCAUAUAAAUAUAAAAAUCGCAUACUCUUUCUGGGUCAUAUGUACAGUCAGAAUAACAUUACAGCAUAAAUACACAGGAAAUCUUUAUAAAGUUUCUCUAAUUUGAGAAGCCUUGAGCGAUUUUGGUUUGGGGGGGUUAGGGGUGGGAAGGGAGAAAAGAAUAAAGGGUGUUUUCACUCUAAGGAACAAAGAGUAGUUCCCUUAAGUUAGAAUCUAAUUACAUACAAGAUUUAAAGGCAACAAAAUGCCCAGAGGAACAGCCCUAUAUUAUACACCAUAAACAUGGGGUUAAAAGGGCAAGAGAUUAUGAUUAUAAUAAUACUUAUAGAGUACAUUUCAUUCCCUUAUAGCACUUUGCAACCAAAAGUCUUACAACACACCUGUGAGGUAGGUAAGUAUUAUUAUCCCCAUUUUACAGAUGGGUAAACUGAGGCACAGAUAGGUUAAAUUAUUUGCCUAAAAAUCAUGUAGUAAGAAUCAGGAAUAAACGCCAGGAAUCCUGAUGGCAAAUCCACUGAAUUAACUGAUAGACCACUCUCCAGUGAAUGCCUGAGACACCUCUCAAUGAAUGGAGAGAAUAUAUUAGCUCAGAUUUGCACAGAUAUAUCAUCAUCCUUUUGACAUGUUGUCUUUACAUAUUCUGACUUGUUUAGAGGACAGAGAACAAUGGCCAUAGAUAAAGUUGACUGUAACAUGUUGCUUUAAUUCUUGUUGCCAACCCCAUGUGGAUUUUGACUCCUUUACAAUCUGGGAUGUAACUAAAUGUCAAUGACAAUGCACCUUAAAUACAUUCUUGAUAUCUUUGCUUCUCCAAGGCAAAAAGCACAAUUACCCUUCCUUAAAGUGCAAUGGCUCAUUACAGAAAUCUCAAGAUUUUCAGUGAAGUCCAACCAAACCCAAGUACAAUCAGUCUGACGGUGAAGAGAAAGAACUUGUCUGUAAUGAUGGACUUAUCUCUAUAUUCCUCAAAUACUUUCUCACAUUUUAUUGAAACUGAAAGUUUAAUAAUAAACAAUAGUCUAUUUUAGCACGUAAAACCUCUAAUACUUAUCUACAGCCACAUAUUCCACCUUUCAUCCCACUGUCAUUUCUUUGGCCUGGAGCUGAUGGAUACAUCAAUUGUAAAUAUUACUUUGCCUACAGGAAUGAGGAUAUAUCUAUUUUCUAGUAGAUUCUUUUCAUUGGUUCCUCUAUUUCUUGUCCUUCCGCAGUAAUCUAACUGUACCAUCUGAGAAAAGGAAAGAUGGACACUGAGCAGAAAGGAUUCAAAAUCUCAAAAUUUACGUGCAGAUCCAGAGGCAAUUCCCCUCCCACCUUCUUGAUCACACUGUCUCAGCUGUUCUGCAUGGUACAAUUGGUGUUUUUAUUAUAAGUAGUAUUAUUAGUAGUAUUUUUGGAGUAAUAUUGAUGCACAGAGUUUCCAAUAAGGCUGCUUAGCUCAGUGUUCCUGGGGAAAAGGUAACCUAUCCCGCUACCUUAACAGAAACUUUGCCAGCAUAGAUGGUGCUUUGGAGUACUACACACAAACGUGAUGCACUAUUUCUAUGGUGAGCUUGAUUGCG